GGACAAAGUGAUUCCUCUCCAGCCUUUCCUGCAUGCAUGCGUGUCAACUUUACCUGCACCGUGCACAACCCAAUAGCUCACAGAGGCUGAACAGCCCCAGACAGCCCCCAGGUGCUGAUGGGUGAACUAAGGCCUGGUGGGUUUAACUGCACUGGGAGAGGAAAAAGCACCACCUACUGCGCAACUGCACUGAAGGCUCUGCUGUCACUCUUACGCAGUUUCUGGUACAACACAGUCCUGACCCAACUAUCCGGAUGAAUGAGCCGAUGCUAAGGAGCUGCUUGCUGGCCCGAGUGCACUUUCUUUUUGGCCAGCACUGCCUGUAACGAAGAAAUACUGGAAAUGAUGUGGAUGGGGAUAUCACCGAGUCAGCUUUUCACAGAACAAGGAAAAAAUGUAACUGGUUGCCUGCCCCUACCUGAGUGCGCUCCACUGGGAGAAACAGACAUUUCAGAACUCCCCGCAUGUCCUCCUUGCUGUAUUUUGGGAUCAGUGUUCAUGGAAAAAAAAAAAAAAAAAAAAUCCUUGCUGUUCUCCACUCAUGAGCUUCGGGCAUCGUGUCUGCAAAAACAAAACCAUCUGGAAGUAGGCAGGUUUUAAGGAGAAUUACCCGGAGAAGCGCAGAAGGAAAGCAGAGGGAUAAUGGAGGGAAAUGGGAAGGGAGGACUGGGAGGCGACAGCACAGCACAGCACAGGCUGCAAGGAGCACGGACAGAGCCACGGCGUGUGGCACAACCACAAAGCACAGAGAGUAGGAAUCCUCUGCGCACCAAUCCUCACUGAGCACCCAAGCAGUUAAGCCAAAAACCAGAGCCUUGCAGAACUGGGACUGUACCCUUUCAUAGCUGAAAAGGCCGUAGGGACAGCCUGUCCUGGCCAGCACAGAUCAAGGCAACAGCUUAAAAACACUGCUCUGAGCUGCUGAGCAGGUUUUCAUAGAAUCACAGGAUGGUUUGGGCUGGAGGGGACGUUAAGGAUCUCGCAGUUCCAACCCCCUGCCACGGGCAGGGCUGCCCCCCACCAGCCCAGGCUGCCCAGGGCCCAUCCAACCCGGCCUCGAGUGCCUCCAGGGAUGGGGCACCGCAGCUUCCCACUGGGGCAGCAGUGCCAGUGCCUCACCGCCCUGUGAGUAAAGACUUUCCCUCUAACAUCUAAUCUAAACCUCCUCUCUUUUAGUUUAAAGCCACCUCCUCCUUGCCCUAUCGCUGACUACCACAGUCAUUUUCCUAAUACGCUGCACUUUCCUCGCAGCCCCGACGACGAUCCCGCUUUCCACAGCUCAGUGCCGGGUGACCGCGGCUGCAGGACGGAAGCAGGAGCCCCCUUUCCGCGGCCUGACCCCGGCCCAGCAGCGCACUCCCAGACCCGCUCCGACGCGGAGAUCCCGGGGGGCGCGGGGGGCCGGG
ensembl:lncRNA